UACAGGGGGUGCAAACGUUGCUCGGAAUCAUUGGGCGUAAAGCGCACGUAGGCGGUCUGUUAUGUCGGAUGUGAAAGCCCUUGGCUCAACUGAGGAAGUGCAUCCGAAACUGGCAGGCUAGGGUACUAAAGAGGGUCGCGGAAUUCCCGGUGUAGAGGUGAAAUUCGUAGAUAUCGGGAGGAACACCGGUGGCGAAGGCGGCGACCUGGGUAGAUACUGACGCUGAGGUGCGAAAGCGUGGGGAGCAAACAGG
rnacentral:rRNA from 1 species